rnacentral:pre_miRNA from 1 species
UAAUCUCAGCUGGCAACUGUGAGCCGCUAAUAACUCUCUCACAGUGGUAUCUGGGAUUAUG